CUUUCCAACAUCAUUCACUUAGUAAUAUUUAAAAACUCUCACCUGUGUCUUAAAUAACUGUGGCUGCCCUUUAAAAUUAUUUACAUUUAUUUGACCUUUGUAGAAGAUAAAAUCGUAAAGUCUCCAUUUUUUAUAACCUUUCCUCAUACUUAAAUUUAUGACAAAUAUUGACCUUUCUCUGCCAUUCAAGAUCCACACAAAGUGUUUGAAUCUCCUCUAAAAUAUCCUGUAUUUUCAAUCCUUUUCUUAUAUCAGAAACUUUUCUUUGUCUGUGUUUGAACUCUUCCUGGUUUCUCUCAGGUUGGAAACAAAUGAGAAAACGCACUUCAGGGAAAAUGCGACAACCUCUAAAUAUGCCAUGGAAACUAAAUUUUUGCUGUAUGAAAAUCUGACAUCUUUCUAAUUAAAAAGAAAUAUAAAGUAUUGUUCUUAGGUGCUGGAUGAUAUUCUUCAAAAUAUGUAUGUUGAAAAACACUGGUAUGGAGUAUGAAAUUCAGGUAAUAGCAAGUUUCCCAGGACAAUUUCUGAAGCUGAUAUUUGUGACAGUUUGCAAAAAUGACCACAAAUACUUAGGAGCAAAUACCGUUACAAGGCACACGCAUGCAUGCACUCUCUCAAACAAGAAG